UACGGAGGGGGCUAGCGUUGUUCGGAAUUACUGGGCGUAAAGCGCACGUAGGCGGACUGUUAAGUCGGGGGUGAAAUCCUGGGGCUCAACCUCAGAAUUGCCUCCGAUACUGGCAGUCUCGAGUGCGGGAGAGGUGAGUGGAAUUCCCAGUGUAGAGGUGAAAUUCGUAGAUAUUGGGAAGAACACCAGUGGCGAAGGCGGCUCACUGGCCCGUAACUGACGCUGAGGCGCGAAAGCUAGGGGGAGCAAACAGG
rnacentral:rRNA from 1 species